rfam:Triticum urartu cultivar G1812 contig808159, whole genome shotgun sequence.
UUAUUACUCCCUCUGUUUCGAAUUACUCGUUAUAGAAAUGGAUGUAUUUAGAACUAAAAUACAUCUAGAUACAUCCAUUUCUGCGAUGAGUAAUUCGGAACGGAGGGAGUAGCUA